rnacentral:rRNA from 1 species
UACGUAGGGGGCGAGCGUUGUCCGGAUUUAUUGGGCGUAAAGAGCUCGUAGGCGGUUUGGUAAGUCGGGUGUGAAAUCUCCACGCUCAACGUGGAGGGGCCACUCGAUACUGCCAUGACUCGAGUCCGGUAGAGGAGGGUGGAAUUCCCGGUGUAGCGGUGAAAUGCGCAGAUAUCGGGAAGAACCCCCGUGGCGAAGGCGGUUCUCUGGGACGGUACUGACGCUGAGACGCGAAAGCGGGGGAGCGAACAGG